rnacentral:rRNA from 1 species
AGGAUGGGCCCGCGUAUCAUUAGCUAGUUGGUGAGAUAACAGCCCACCAAGGCAACGAUGAUUAGCCGGUCUGAGAGGGCGAACGGCCACAUUGGAACUGAGAGACGGUCCAAACUCCUACGGGAGGCAGCAGUGGGGAAUAUUGCGCAAUGGAGAAGAACUCUGACGCAGCAAUACCGCGUGAGCGAAGAAGGUCUUCGGAUCGUAAAGCUCUGUUAUCAGGGAAGAAGAAAAUGACGGUACCUGAUGAGCAAGUCCCGGCUAACUACGUGCCAGCAGCCGCGGUAAUACGUAGGGGACAAGCGUUGUCCGGAAUCACUGGGCGUAAAGGGCGCGCAGGCGGUGAUUUAAGCAGGAUGUGAAAGGCUACGGCUCAACCGUAGACAUGCACCCUGAACUGGGUCACUUGAGUAUUGGAGAGGCAGGGCAAAAUUCCUGGUGUAGCGGUGAAAUGCGUAGAUAUCAGGAGGAAUACCGGAGGCGAAGGCGGCCUGCUGGACAAAUACUGACGCUGAGGCGCGAAAGCGUGGGGAGCAAACAGGAUUAGAUACCCUGGUAGUCCAUGCCGUAAACGAUGGAUGCUGGUUGUUGGUCUUUAAAGAUCAGUGACGACGUAAACACGAUAA